rnacentral:rRNA from 1 species
AUUGAACGCUGGCGGCAGGCCUAACACAUGCAAGUCGAGCGAGCGGCGGACGGGUGAGUAAUGUAUGGGAAACUGCCUGAUGGAGGGGGAUAACUACUGGAAACGGUAGCUAAUACCGCAUACCAUCCGAUGUACCCAGAUGGGAUUAGCUAGUAGGUGGGGUAAAGGCUCACCUAGGCGACGAUCCCUAGCUGGUCUGAGAGGAUGACCAGCCAAAAGGGAACUGAGACAGGGCCCAGACUCCUACGGAAGGCAGAAGUGGGAAAUAUUGGAAAAGGGGCGCAAGCCUGAUGCAGCCAGGCCGCGGGUAUGAAGAAGGCCUUGGGGUUGUAAAGUACUUUCAGAGGGGAGGCGUUACCCACAGAAGAAGCACCGGCUAACUCCGUGCCAGCAGCCGCGGUAAUUC